ACUCGGAACGCAACGACAGAUGAAAUACGGCUACGAAUUUCGCCCGGCGUGCUAACGUUUCUGCCAGCUCGCCACAAUAUAAAUACAUAGAUUGCAACUGGGUCCCCAGAGUCGACAUUGAGGGAGUCCAAUGGAAAUAAUGAAGGAAAUGGAGAGAAACGAUACGAAACUGAUGCACGUGGAUCUACGUAAAUAUCAGUUUGUGGGGCUUCGUGAAAGAAGGAAUGUUGCGGAGAUCUUCAGGAAAGUUUGUCCACAGAAACAAAAUAAUGGAAUAUCAGCAAACUGACUCAUCGCAUCUCAUCAUUAGCAUUGGUGGCAUCGAGGGAAAUCAGAUGUGAUAAUAACAGUCAGAAAUUCUAUUCUGAGAAGGCUGAAAAUGAAGAGCAAGUGUACUAACAUAAGAUUGGAAAAAAAUAAAAAGGUAAGGAACAUCCUUAGUGAAAUGUAAAAAUAAGGGACCGACAUGAAAAUGAAAAAGGGGUUCCAAAUAAUCAAAGAGUUUAAUAUCAAUAAAAACAAAAGGCAUUCGACUUGGUGGUUAGAGAGAGAAUAGGUACAAAGACACAAGUCACCUUAGCAUGAAACUUUGAGGUAGUCUCUCGGAUGUGAGAAAAGGAUGGUUCUGCAAUUUGCACAGAUGAUCUGUUUAUAAUGAUCGAAUGUGUGUGCUCAUUCCUUCUAUUGAUUCAAUAUUGCCUGAUCAGGUUCACAAAUGUCAGGUGCAUGUUAGAUGUCAAAAUGACAACAGAGAAACAUGGAAUAAAGUGUUUUGCCCAAGAAAACACUGUACCAUCUGGUCUGGUAAAUGGAUCCAUUAUCUUGUGAUUGUGAGGACAAUAUCCAAACCAUUAGGCCAUCCGUCCUCACAGUAUUAAAUCACAGUUCUAACAUUACAUACUAACUGGAAUUUAGGUAAACUGGAAAGUUAAGUCAGAAAAAAAGGAAACUGUUAACAGCAAUUCAAAGUCAUCAGCCUGAAAUGUGAUGCAGAUAAAAUAGAGACUAUCUCAGAUGCAGCAGGGAUUCAUCUGACACAGAAGAAAACUACUACAAAGUGACAACAGUAAGACUAGAAAAAUACUCAGAAAUAAGUGAGAGAAAACUGAAAAGUGUAAUUAAGGAAACAAAAUAACAAAGCAAUAUCAAAAGGAAUUUCCCCUUCUCUCUGUUUAAGGAGCCACAAGCACUUUCACGGAGACGUACAGACAAGACAGGAACUUCUGCCAACAAAAUUCCAUCACAAGAUUUCGGUUAACUUGAGGAUAUGCCAGAAGACACUUGCCCAAGGUGCUUUGCAGUGGGACUGAACCUGAGACCAUGUGGUUGAGAAGCAAGCUUCCAUGAACACAAGGAAUGCAAUUUUGAGGGGAGGGUGUUUGUAGAUUAAAUCAACCUGAGUAUUUAACUGGUUUCUUAUUUAAUUGAACCUGGAGGGACAAAAGAGGAAGUUGUUCUUGGUGAAUGUAAAGAGUUGCAACAAACAGUGAGUUUAAUUGUUUCAACACUCUAACAACUCUGCUAACAUCCCCACCCGCUUACAAUAUAUAGAAUAUAAAAUGGUAAAAUAAAAACUGGAAGCUAACAGCAUUGAAGUAAAAGAUUUAGAUGAGGAUAAAACAAUACAAAAAAUCUAAUAGGAAACAAUACAAAAAAACUAAUA